CGGCUGCUGCUACUCAACCUAAGAUUAUAUUGCAUACACCCAAGGAAUGGCGAUUGAGUUUAGAUCUAUGGCGUUGAAGAAGGAAACGAGGAUGCAAGGUAUGUUUGGGCAGC